AAUCAAUAAAAUAAUUAAAUCAAGAAUAAACAAACAACCUAAUAUGAUAAGCAAAAUUAAUCGAAUUUAAUUCAAAACAAUAGUAAUCACGUUCUUGCCUUUAACCUCAAAAAAAGGGUUUUAAUGGAUGAUAUUCCUAAUCAUGAUCCAAUUAAUUGAAUAUAUGAUAUGAAUAAUUAACAACUAAAUAAAAAUUUACAACCCAAUUAAAAGAAGUGGCAGCCACGUUUUUCGUCCAAGCACUGUAUCACCUCUUCAAGGUUGUUGUCAAAGAAUUAAUUAAUUCCAAGAUUGUGACUUGCUGUCCAAGUGUGGUGUAUAAAUAUUAUAUUAUCUUCCUAAUAUAAUAAGGAUUAGGCAAUGGCACAAGUACCAAGAAAUAUUCCCACUUUCUCCAAAUUUUUUGGUUCUCCAGCUAUCCAAUAAUAAUCCUAAUCCCUACAAUAUCACACACCACAUAUUAAAGAUCAAAACAACAUAAUAUUCUCAAUGACGAAUCAAAAUAAAAGGUAACAUAAGGCAAAUUCACAAUGAUCUUAAACUCAAUGUUCCGACUCUUGACUUAAUCAAAUUGAACAUUGUCCAUCACAAUCAAGUUAUUCCACAUAUAAUUACACAUUUAAAAUAUUUGGAACAAAUUAAACACAUUAGAAUUCACCGAAACCAACUAGACACAUUUAGCUCAAGCUAGUAAAACUAGUUUUCCGAGUUGAACUCUAAAUGACUCAAUUAAGUACAAACUUGUUCAAAAAAUACAUUGAACAUUGUAAAUGCACACUUGGAUACUUAAUUGCUUAUUUAUAUCAAUAUUAACACAUUAAGCACACAAAUUUCUCUCAAAACAAGGCUAAAUAAACUAGAAUAAUGACACUGAAGUGUAUAAAACAAUCUUAGAUCAUCACCCCACACUUAAACUCUUGUU
rnacentral:lncRNA from 1 species